rnacentral:lncRNA from 1 species
CGGUUCUCUAAUUUGACUCAGCUUCAGAUUGGAAUGUUUCUCUCCUCACUGGGAAAAGCUCCUUUGGUCUCAGUGAACUCAGAGGUGGAGAAAGUCAUAAGAAUCAGGGAGCCUGCCCCAAAUUGCCUCCUAUGAUAACUUUCCACAAAGACUGGAGGGGAGGCUUCAAACAUCUUCCUGCAGUGUCCAGCAAGACAGCGAGGCAGACUCCCUUUCUCCUGCCAAAGCCACGUGGAGCCAGACAGAACCACAAGCAUACCUGUGGUGCUUGGAGGCCCAAGUAGAAACUUGAAUGCUCACGGCUGCAUUGGCAGCUUCUACUUGCCUGCCUGGAUCACCGUUCCUCAUGAGAACUUGGAAAAGCAGGACUAUCAUUCUUGCUUGACAGACGAAGAAACCAAGCCUCAGUUUUGUAGGCUCCUACCAGUGAAAGCCUCCUCACAACUCUCUUCUUCUCCCCAAGGACUGCGUGCAAUUCUACUUGGAGAUCUUCAUAACACCUUAAGGGAAAAAUCCUUUUUGAAAGAAAAACAAGUCUGGGUGGUGCUUGAAAAUUCAGAAGGCAGCUAGAAACUCUGCCAAUUACAACUGGUGAUUGCUGAGUUCUGGAGACAGACUGGGCUUCUGCUUUCUUUUGGUGGAGGUGUCUGCUUGCAGAAAAUUUAUGUUCUGGGAUUUACAACUUCAGGGAGACAAAGGAAACUCCAGCUCAUCUCCCACAUCAUUGAUUGAGAGGACCAUUUUCUGACUGUCUGCACACGGAUGGGCAUUUGAAUUAUUUCCAGUUUUUGGCUAUUAUGAAAAAAACUGCUAUGAACAUUCAUACACAAGUGUGUGUGUGGACCCAUGUUUUCACUGAUCAAGGCCUAAAUACCUACGUGGUGCUUCGUGAACCCUGGAUGCUACAGUCUCUGGCCACAGCACUAAAUGUAUGCUGAGAUCUGGCUUCACGGUCG